rnacentral:rRNA from 1 species
UACAGAGGUUUCAAGCGUUGUUCGGAUUCAUUGGGCGUAAAGGGUGCGUAGGUGGUGCGGUAAGUCGGCUGUGAAAUCUCAGGGCUCAACCCUGAAACUGCAUUCGAUACUGCCUUGCUCGAGGACUGGAGAGGAGAUUGGAAUUCACGGUGUAGCAGUGAAAUGCGUAGAUAUCGUGAAGAACACCAGUGGCGAAGGCGGCUCACUGGCCCGGUACUAACGCUGAGGUGCGAAAGCGUGGGGAGCAAACAGG